rnacentral:lncRNA from 1 species
GUUAAAUUCCAGUUAGUUAACAUACAGUAUAAUAUUAGUUUCAGGUGUACAAUAUAGUGAUCCUUUAUAAUAUCAUCAAUUGCAAUUAAGGACACUACAAUCAUCUGUAGGCCUAAGAAGAAAAAUUUUUGAUGGGAGCAAUUACGCCACAUAAAUUUGGAUUGGAACCUGGAACACUCAGCUACCAACUGCUGCUUCCGAAAGCUACUAUAAAUGGAGACUGACUGGCUGGUCCACUUUUCAGUGUUAGCAGUACUGGAAAAUUCAGAUGGAUUACUGAUGCCACCUCUAGAGAUAUACCUGAAUUCAGCUCAAAACAAAAUCACCCUGGUCUGUAAACACUUUAAUAAACUCACUGAAGCUUAAUGACUUCAAUUGUUUUCAUCAUCACAUAUGUCCCUAAAAGCACUCUAAUUUCAUAUGUUUCACAAUUGUAACAAAAAUAAUUGUAUUCCACUUCAGUAUUUUAAAUCUGUGCAAGUAUCAAAAACAAAAACAAGCUAAACAGAAGACGUGCUUAAUAAUAUUUUUAAAAAUUUGAAACUGUGGUCUGUAUCUAGAAAUUUAUCACAAUUUUAUGAUGUG